GGAGAGGUGGCCGAGUGGUUUAAGGCGCCCGCUUGGAAAGCGUGUAAAGGUGCAAGCCUUUCGAGGGUUCGAAUCCCUUCCUCUCCGCCA
rnacentral:tRNA from 1 species